rnacentral:rRNA from 1 species
UACGUAGUGUGCGAGCGUUAAUCGGAAUUACUGGGCGUAAAGCGUGCGCAGGCGGCCGAGCAAGUCGAGUGUGAAAGCCCCGAGCUUAACUUGGGAACUGCGCUCGAAACUACUUGGCUAGAGUGUGGCAGAGGGAGGUGGAAUUCCACGUGUAGCGGUGAAAUGCGUAGAGAUGUGGAGGAACACCGAUGGCGAAGGCAGCCUCCUGGGCCAACACUGACGCUCAUGCACGAAAGCGUGGGGAGCAAACAGG